AUGAUUGAUACAAACUUCAGAAUCAUGUCCUGCAACGUGAGGGGACUAAACUCACCGUCAAAGCGCACAGCCGUCUGCGAGGUUGCUCACGCAAAUAAAAUUGCGAUUCUAAACCUAUAGGAAACUAAGAUCGAGUCCUGGACCACGCACAUAGCAGUAGAAGUAGGGGGGCCUUCGCUUCAAGGUUGCGUCGUUCUACCCGCGAUGGGUACUAGAGGCGGUGCCGCCAUCUUCUGGGAUAAGCAACUAGUCAACGUAGUUAUGCACAUGAUUGCUAGCUUCUCCAUUAUGGUUAGGGUAGAGAUCCUCGGCAACAGCGAGUUCUUUUGGAUGACAACUGUCUACGGGCCUUCGGAGGAUGAGCAAAAGGAAAACUUCCUAACUGAAUUAGCCAGCACAGCCCCUCCCCCCUCUAAGCCUUGGAUGCUCAACAUAGAUUUUAACAUGAUAUAUCAGGCGAGGGACAAAAACAACGGACUGAUUAAUAGAAGGAUGAUGGGCCGUUUCCGCCGGGUGAUUGAUCUUGCUGGGGUCAGAGAGGUCAAAUGCAGAAACAAACGGUUUACUUGGAGUAGUGAAAGAGAAUCCCCAACCUUAUGCAGCAUCGACAAGAUUUUUUGUAACUUGGCAUGGGAGGACAUGUUUCCUGAUGUGAUGCUCACGGCGGCUUCAACCUCCUUUUCUGAUCACUGCCCUCUCUUGUUAGCUAAUGGUGCACCCCCGAUCAGGAAGGCUAGGUUCAGGUUUGAGAAUUUUUGGCCGCGAUUUCCACACUUCCAGAAAACGAUGCAACAUGCCUGGGAUCGGCCUGUGAAUCAUGACUGCCCCUUCAUACGCGCCAGGAGGAAGCUACAGAGGGUUGCGACCGACCUGAAAAUCUGGAGCAGAUCACUCUUUGAAGGCACCAAACUGUAG
rnacentral:rRNA from 1 species